rnacentral:rRNA from 1 species
GAUGAACGCUGGCGGCGUGCCUAAUACAUGCAAGUCGAGCGAACAGAAGAGGUGCUUGCUCCUCUGACGUUAGCGGCGAAAGGGUGAGUAACACGUGGGUAACACACCUAUAAGACUGGGAUAACUUCGGGAAACCGGAGCGAAUAACGGAUGCUAUAUUGACAUGAAUGGUUCAUUAGUGAAAGACGGUUGUGCUGUGACUUAUAGAUGGACCCGCGCCGCCUUAGCUAGGUGGUAUGGUAAGGGGUUACCAAGGCAACGAGGCGUAGCCGACCUGAGAGGGUGGAUCACCACCCGAGAAGUGAGACACGGUCCCGACUUCUGCAGGGAGCAACAGUAGGGAAUCUUACGCAAUGGAGGAAAGCCUGACGGUGCAACGUGGGGUGAGCGAUGAAGGUCUUCGGAUCCUAAAACGCAGAUAUAUGGGAAGAACAAAUGUGUAAGUAACUAUGCACGUCUUGACGGUACCUAAUCAGAAAGCCACGGCUAACUACGUG